UUUUACGGAGAGUUUGAUCCUGGCUCAGGACGAACGCUGGCGGCGUGCUUAACACAUGCAAGUCGAGCGGUAAGGCCUUUCGGGGUACACGAGCGGCGAACGGGUGAGUAACACGUGGGUGAUCUGCCCUGCACUCUGGGAUA
rnacentral:rRNA from 1 species